AGUGAACGCUGGCGGUAGGCCUAACACAUGCAAGUCGAACGGCAGCACAGUAAGAGCUUGCUCUUACGGGUGGCGAGUGGCGGACGGGUGAGGAAUACAUCGGAAUCUACUUUUUCGUGGGGGAUAACGUAGGGAAACUUACGCUAAUACCGCAUACGACCUACGGGUGAAAGCAGGGGAUCUUCGGACCUUGCGCGAUUGAAUGAGCCGAUGUCGGAUUAGCUAGUUGGCGGGGUAAAGGCCCACCAAGGCGACGAUCCGUAGCUGGUCUGAGAGGAUGAUCAGCCACACUGGAACUGAGACACGCUCAAGACUCCUACGGGAGGCAGCAGUGGGGAAUAUUGGACAGUGGGCGCAAGCCUGAUCCAGCCAUACCGCGUGGGUGAAGAAGGCCUUCGGGUUGUAAAGCCCUUUUGUUGGGAAAGAAAAGCAGCAGGUUAAUACCCCGCUGUUCUGACGGUACCCAAAGAAUAAGCACCGGCUAACUUCGUG
rnacentral:rRNA from 1 species